rnacentral:lncRNA from 1 species
CUCUGAGCACCAUUGACCACUUAUUGGAUUGUGGAAGAGACCUAACUCAAAUUUGGACCAAGAAGUGACUUGAAAUCAAGAUCUCUCCCCAGAAGAGACAACAAUGAAUAGUGCUGUUCACGAGGAGUUGCUGGCUCAGCAGGCCUCUUUGUCUCUGUGCUCAUGACAAGGACAUAUCACCUAACUCUGGGCUCUGGCUCACUUAGUAGCUUCUUUGCCGUUGGACUCUCACACCGAGAUGUCACCGAGCAGCAGCCUUUCCCAGGAAGUUGUUAAGGAGAUGGGAAUCCUCAUGCCUGCUGCUUUUUCCCAAAUCAGAGGAAGCCCGGGAGCCAGUUGCAGUAAAGUCUUGCCAGUAACGUUUCUCUUAAGAACGGUGAGAAAAUACUAUGAAAAGUCACAUUUACUUUGAUCUAGAAUUAAGUAAAUUUCGGUGUUUGGGUCUUUGGCAAAAUGUCACAAGUGGAAAGUCAGGACUCACAUGAUGUCUAG